AUUGAACGCUGGCGGCAGGCCUAACACAUGCAAGUCGAACGAGUGGCGGACGGGUGAGUAAUGUCUGGGAAACUGCCUGAUGGAGGGGGAUAACUACUGGAAACGGUAGCUAAUACCGCAUACCAUCAGAGGUGCCCAGAUGGGAUUGGCUUGUUGGUGGGGUAACGGCUCACCAAGGCGACGAUCACUAGCGGGUCUGAGAGGAGGAACAGCCCCACCGGAACGAAGACACGGUCCAGACUCCUACGGGAGGCAGCAGUGGUGAAUAUUGCACAAGGGGCGCAAUCCUGAGGCAGCCAUGCCGCUUGUAGGAAGAAGGCCUUCGGGUGGUAAAGUACUUUCAGCGGGGAGGCGUUACCCGCAGAAGAAGCACCGGCUAACUCCGUGCCAGCAGCCGCGGUAAUAC
rnacentral:rRNA from 1 species